UCUUAGCUGCUUUGUUGAUGAGAACACUCCAAUUAGUGGAACAAAUGGUGCAACAUGUGGACAGUCUUCAGAUCCCAGGCUGGCAGAGAGGAGAGUCAGGUCACAACGACAUAGAAAUUACAUGAGCAGAACACAUUUACAUACUCCUCCAGACCUACCAGAAGGCUAUGAACAGAGGACAACGCAACAAGGCCAGGUGUAUUUCUUACAUACACAGACUGGUGUGAGCACAUGGCAUGAUCCAAGAGUGCCCAGGGAUCUUAGCAACAUCAAUUGUGAAGAGCUUGGUCCAUUGCCUCCUGGAUGGGAGAUCCGUAAUACGGCAACAGGCAGAGUUUAUUUCGUUGACCAUAACAACAGAACAACACAAUUUACAGAUCCUCGGCUGUCUGCUAACUUGCAUUUAGUUUUAAAUCGGCAGAACCAAUUGAAAGACCAACAGCAACAGCAAGUGGUAUCAUUAUGUCCUGAUGACACAGAAUGCCUGACAGUCCCAAGGUACAAGCGAGACCUGGUUCAGAAACUAAAAAUUUUGCGGCAAGAACUUUCCCAACAACAGCCUCAGGCAGGUCAUUGCCGCAUUGAGGUUUCCAGGGAAGAGAUUUUUGAGGAAUCAUAUCGACAGGUCAUGAAAAUGAGACCAAAAGAUCUCUGGAAGCGAUUAAUGAUAAAAUUUCGUGGAGAAGAAGGCCUUGACUAUGGAGGCGUUGCCAGGUAAGACUUGCUUGCCAGCUUAUGACAUAUGGAUCUUUGUACUUACAAAUUUUAA
rnacentral:lncRNA from 1 species